rnacentral:tRNA from 3 species
GGGGGUAUAGCUCAGCUGGCUAGAGCGCUUGCAUGGCAUGCAAGAGGUCCGGGGUUCGAAUCCCCGUAUCUCCACCA